AGUGAACGCUGGCGGUAGGCCUAACACAUGCAAGUCGAACGGCAGCACAGUAAGAUCUUGCUCUUACGGGUUGCGAGUGGCGGACGGGUUAGGAAGACAUCGGAAUCUACUUUUUCGUGGGGGAUAACGUAGGGAAACUUACGCUAAUACCGCAUACGACCUACGGGUGAAAGCAGGUGAUCUUCGGACCUUGCGCGAUUGAAUGAGCCGAUGUCGGAUUAGCUAGUUGGCGGGGUAAAGGCCCACCAAGGCGACGAUCCGUAGCUGGUCUGAGAGGAUGAUCAGCCACACUGGAACUGAGACACGGUCCAGACUCCUACGGGAGGCAGCAGUGGGGAAUAUUGGACAAUGGGCGAAAGCCUGAUCCAGCAAUACCGCGUGGGUGAAGAAGGCCUUCGGGUUGUAAAGCACUUUUGUUGGGAAAGAAAAGCAGCAGGUUAAUACCCUGGUGUUAUGACGGUACCCAAAGAAUAAGCACCGGCUAACUUCGUG
rnacentral:rRNA from 1 species